rnacentral:lncRNA from 1 species
CCACUCCCGUGGCAUAUGGAGAUUCCCAGGCUAGGGGUCCAAUCGGAGCUGUAGCUGCCAGCCUACGCCAGAGCCACAGCAACGCGGGAUCCAAGCCGCGUCUGCAACCUACACCACAGCUCACGGCAACGCCGGAUCGUUAACCCACUGAGCAAGGGCAGGGACCGAACCCUCAACCUCAUGGUUCCUAGUUGGAUUCGUUAACCACUGCGCCAUGACGGGAACUCCUGCCUUUUGUCUUUCUAGGCCCAUACCUGCAGCACAUGGAGGUUCCCAGGCUAGGGAUCUAAUCAGAACUGUUGCUGCCAGCCAACGCCAGAGCCACAGUAAUGCCAGAUCCGAGCCGUGUCUGCGACCUACACCACAGCUCAUGGCAACGCUGGAUCCCAACCCACUGAGCGAGGCCAGGGAUCGAACCCACAACCUCAUGGUUCCUAGUUGGAUUCGUUUCCACUGCGCCAUGACAGGAACUCCAAUAAAUUAUAUAUAUUGUUGUAAGAAAUUAUUAUAUGUGUAUAUAGAUCUCACACACAUCUAAUUUAUCAACACAGAAUACAUAGUAAAGUACUUCUUUACUAGGAAAUACAUAGAAGUAUUAUUCCUUUUUUCCCCAUUCUUAGCUUGGCUCUAAGGACUUUCUCCAAACUUUCCAUCUAUCCAUUCAUCACUGCCAUUUAUUUAUUGUCUAUAUUCAAAUAAUAGAUAUCAUGUUCCAGUGGUUCUCUAAUUCCUACUCACAGUCACUCCACUGUCUAAAGUCUCUUUACUGUCAUAUCUACAAAUUUAACUUUUCUGAUUGGCAGAUAGGUUAUAUAUGCUUUUCAAGUUAUAGGUAGAACACCUAUUAUAAAAUGAAAAAAUCCUUCAAGGAUAUCACUUAUCUAAUUCAUCUAUAUAUUGACAACAAGAAGAGUGAUUAAAAAAUAGUUCGUGAAUGAGUGAAUGUGUGUUGUAUCAUACACAUAGCUACUCACGAUUAAAAUAAGCCAAAUCUAAAGUUAACAAAUUUAUGUCAUGGGCAGAAGACCUAAAUAGGCAUUUCUCCAAAGAUGACAUAAGGAUGGCCAGUAGGCACAUGAAAACAAUACUCAAUAUCACUAAUUAUUAGAGAAAUGCUAAUCAAAACUACACUGAGGUACCACCUCACACCAGUCAGAUUGGCCAUCAUACAUAAGUUUACAAGUAACAAAUUCUGGAGAGAUUGGGGAGAAAAGGCAACCCUCCUUCACCGUUGGUAAGAAUAAAAAUUAGUACAACCACUAUGGAAAACAAUGUGGAGGUACCUCAGAAAACUAAAACCACAACCACCAUAUGAUCCAACAAUCCUACUCCUAGGCAUGAAUCUGGAAAAAACUAAUUCAGAAAGAUACAUGCAUCCCUAUGUUUACUCCAGCACUAUUUGCAAUAGUCAAGACAGGGCAACAACCUAAAUGUCCAUUGACAGAUAAAUGGAUUAAAAUGACAUGGUACAUAUAAAAAAGCAUGGAAUAAUGCCAUUUGCAACAACAUGGAGGCAGCUAGAGAUUAUCGUACUAAGUGAAUGAAGUAAUAAAGACAAAUACCUUAUGUCUUAUAUGUGGAAUCUAAAAUAUGGCACAGAUGUACUUACCUACAAAACAGAAACAGACUCACAGGGAUGGAGAACAGACUUGUGGUUGCCAAGGGGGAGCAGGGAGCAAGUGGGAUGGACUAGGAGUUUGGGGUUAGUAGAUGCAAACUAUUACAGUUAGAACUGAUGAACAGUAAGGUCCUUCUCUACAGCACAGGGAACUGUAUCCAGUCUCCUGGGGUAGCCCAUGAUAGAAAUAACAUAAGAAAAACACUGUAUAUGUAUGACUGGGUCACUUUGAUAUACAGCAGAAAUGGUACAACAUUGUAAAUCAAACAUACUUCAGCAAAAAAUUUUUUAAAAACACAUUUAAAUUAAAAUAGUCUUGUUUUUGAGUUGAAACCAAAUCCUGUUUUCAUAGAUUGUGAACCAAUAUGUUUAGUCACAAGGACUGAUUUUUCCAAGAUAAUCAGAUUUUUUUCAAAACUUUAAGCCUUUGCAAAAUCAAUGAGUUCUGGUCAUAAAAACUGAUACUUUUUAAGAUACAAAUAAAUAAAAUGGUAUGCUAGACUGUCUCCUUGGCAAAUUACUAUACUGAAGAUAUAAGGCUAGUUACUAUGGUAUCUGCACUGCUGGUCCUUCAUCUGUGAAAUACAUAGAAGUAGUAUUCCUUUUUUUUUCUGAGCUGCUUGACAAUAGACCACAUCCUAAAUCUUCUGCAUCUACAGAACACAUGCCCCAAAACAGAAUGGUCAAUAUCAAUUUAAGUUUACCAGAAACAAACAGCAUGACUAAUGGCUUCCUCAAAAGAAAAGUAUUAUCAAUGCAAUGUCAUUUUAAAAAAUCCAUUCAAGUUUUACUCUCCAAAUGCAUUCUUCAUUUUGCAUGCAAAGUAAAAUCUUAUUCAGUGCUUAUUUUCUUAGCAAGUCUCUACAAUUAACAUGGGGCAAUUAAUCUUUGAAAUGUUAAUAGAUUUAUCAGCUUCUAUGCUUAUCUAAGCAAUAUGUGUUAUGGAAAGCAAAAAGCUAUAUGCAUAUACAAUGGACUAUCUAUAAACAUAUGCAUGGUGUAUACUAUAUAUAGUAUAUACUAUACCCUAUUGCCAGCAUUUUCUGUGAUACUUAGCCUCGAGAAAUGUAGCACAUCAUGCUUAACAGAUUUUGUUCAUAAAUAAUUUGUGUCUUUCACAUUUAGUAGACUGUAAGGUAUAAUUUUGAGACUCUUAAUGUAAUACUGUGUAUCUCUGUGUUGACUGUUAUUGAUGUUACAUAUUUUUGCUUUUACUUUUUUCAUUUUUCUCUUUAUAUUACUUCAUCCAUCAUUGAAAAUCCCUGAAAAAAAUAAGGAUAUGUAGGGUGUUGGUGAUAUUUGGUUUGAGACAGAAAUACUGCCUUGAAAGAACCACAUCUAUGUAGAGUGAUAUUCUUACUUCUUUCAUUCCUCUAGGCUCUUUUCCUCCAUUCCCUUCCUCAAAUCUGCUCCCUUCUGAGUUUUCAGCAGAUAUUUCCUGAAUACACGUGUAUACCAUAUUGCUUCUGAACAUCUUUGCCAGUAAAAGACUUGAAGCUCUUACUGAUCACAGUUUUAGGUAAAAUAGGAUUGCUUAAAUCACACAAAUAGAUUUCCUAAAAGAAGCUAAUGCCAUUUUUUAUUAAUAUGACAUGGAUUAUAUAUCAAUUAGUUUAAAAAGUUUUUGUAUUGGUUUAUAUGAGUGUUUUUUUGGUUUAUAAGUCUUAAAGUCUAAAGCGCAAAACAUCAUGGCUUGAAAAACAAUCAGCUGCAAGAGCUUCAUUAUGAUAAUUCUUUGGAUUUCAAUAUCUUGGGAAAGAAAGUCUGGUAUGCAUAUAUUAAAAUUUUUAGGAAUUUCAAAUAAAUUGAAAUGUAUGAGGUGUUGAAAGUAUGAUCAGACUUUGGGAUUUAACCUAUAAUGUAUUUGGAAUAUGUUGUUUAAACUAUUUUUCUUAAACUUUAUUUUUAUCUUUUCCUUUGCAAAGAUUAGGUCCAUGAUGUUCUAUCCAGAGUAGCCCUAAAAAUCUUUCACUUCAAUAGAAUUAAUGUUUUAAUCUUUCCAGAAAGACUUAGAAUGCUACUUUAUUAAUAUAGAUGAUUCAAUAGAGAAAAGAUCAAUCUCUGCUGAAGAAUUGCAAAUAAUCUGUGUAAAUAUGCCACCCUCAUGGAAUACUAUCCUAACUCCCCACUCCUUAAGUGCUGGCUGUGCAUAUUGACUUUCUCCUAAAGAAUACACUAUGGAAAUGGAGAAAAAGUAACUGUACAACAAAGAAGCCUGACAAACAUAGUGCAGCUGGGUAAUAAAAGGUCAACAUUAAUAUUAAUAGAUCAUAUCAACAGGAUUACCUCGGUAAAUAUUGAUUAAUUAUACAAAUGUCAUUAAUAUAUUAAUAGGGGAAAUUGGAUGUAAGUAUAUGUGAAUUUUAACAUUUGUUUAAGUCCAAAACUGUUCUAAAAAAGUAUAUUAAAAAAAGUAGGAGGUCUCUUGCGGUAUAGCAGCUUCAAGAUCCAGCAUUGUUACUACAGUGGCUUGGGUCACUGCUAUGGCAUGGGUUCAAUCCCUGCAACAGGAUCUUCCACAUGCAGUGGAUGAUGCUGUGAAUUAGUAGAGAGUGAAAACAAAAAUUACCUAUCAUAAUAUAUUUACAAGAUAAGUUUCAGAAUUUUUGUCUAUGGUGAUUUAAGUAUGAUAGUAUCUUUGGUUUUAACUGGAAUAAGUUUGCUCUUAGAUAGGAAAGGGGAAAUGAUUCAAUCCUGUUUUAAUUCAGCUCACUUUUCUUCAAUUUAAAUGAUGUAAAUGCAUAGUUUUAAUGAAUUAUGGGACUCCAAAAUUUUCAUCCAGCAGCUAGUGUGCCUUAGCAUGCACUCUUAUCAAUAAGACAACAAUCCACACAUGGAUGAUAAUAGGAUAAACUGCUGGUGGCCAGUUCUGAAAUAAAUCUACCAGUUACCUGUUUAACAUAAUUUACAUAUGCCUAUAUGCAAAAUUUACCCACUUUCUCCCAAGACCUUCAGAAAAUUAUAUAAUCAUAGUAUCAGGAGUUCAUCACCUAAAUCAGAUCUGGAUAUGGCUAAAUUUCCUUAGGAACUCUUGAGCUGGAGACCUGUGAAUGAAGAUUAAGUUAGCGCUCCACUUCUCACCUUCCCUGCAUGCAGUGAUGAACUGAGGAUAUGAAAACUAAAUUAAGUGUUCUCAUUUUAAGACGAAAGAAAAGGAAGCUCAUAGGGUCACUAGUUGUUAGCAAUUCUGAAGUCCAGCCAGGGCCAGGUUGCCAGUUUCCCCAAAUCUGGGCACAAAGAAUAUUCCUUUACUUGGGCUGUUUUCUGGUAUUAGGAACUUCAAUCCAUUUUUCUCUAAGUCUCUUGAUUUUGUGCCCUGGCUCUUCGAAUAAGACUACUCUAUCAUUUUAUUUGUUAGAAAAUGUCUGUAUUAAUAGUCAAGGACCUGUUUUCAACUAUCUCUUUAUGAGCAAGCUGACAGUGCAUUCCUCAUAUUUAUCUAACAACCUUUGUGAGCUUUUAAUAUUAGAGUUAAAUCAAAAGUAAUGUACGAUAGCAAACCUUAGCACUCUCUCUUAGCAUGCCAAUAUAACCAUGUUAUUUCAUAACGGAAAUAUUUAGUGAUAAAUAAAAGUGAUUAUAUUAAUAAAAUUAAGCCUGUGGUCUACAAAGAAAGAAAGAUACCUCAUCAAAAUCUUCAUAAGCACAUUCUCAGAUACCUUCACUUAGGUGAUGGUCUUUAUGGGUGGAUGAAGAAUACUGCCAUUGACAGCCAUUGACAGAAUUUGGAGAACUCUCCUAUUUUUGUCCUGGAGGACUUUGUGCUCAACAACCUUAUUUUCUCCAUGCCCUGCUGUAUUACUUUGCUAGGGAU